rnacentral:RNase_P_RNA from 1 species
GAAGCGAGCCAGACCGCCGCUGGCGCGAGGCCCGAAAGGGCGCGCUGGAGGAAGGUCCGGACUGCACAGGGCAGCGUAGCGGGUAACACCCGUCCACCGCGAGGUGCGGAUCAGAGCCACAGAGACGAGUCACGGCGGGGCGUGCCCCCGCCGUGGGUGAAACGCGGCAAUCUCUACGCGCAGCAACACCGAAUAGGCACGCGGCGACCUGGCCCGGGUAGCGUGCGGGUGGGUGGCACCGAGCCGGGUGGGCAACCCCCGGCCCAGACGAAUGGCGGUCACGCCGGCGCCCCGGCCACGGGGCGGCGGCGCACAGAAUCCGGCCUAUCGGCUCGCUUCACAC